CAGCUCGAUCUGCCACUCGGUUAUUGCAUGUAUUUUAAUACAGGCAGCCUCGGCUGCUGCUGUACAAUAUGGCCUGGCAACUGGUUGCUAAAAACGUGUCCUUGAAAUUUUUUCUUAGAGUGAUGUAAUAUAGUUUUUAAGUCGCACCUUAAUGUAACACACCAGAUAUAAUGAAGUAAAUCUUCACUGUUUCUCCUGAUAUUCGCAAGUAACAAAUAUAUGGUAACGAAUAUCGGAUAUAAUAGGGAGUUUUGAUUCGUCCGUAAAUCUUGUGCCAUUUGCAGGAUGUAAGGUUAGUGGAAAUGCAAGUGCAAACGGGCAAGUUGAGGGUGCCACCUGGUGGUGCCAAGUUGAAACAGCUAUUGUUACUGUAACCGACCAUAUUGUACUUAGCUGCUGGGGUCGGCAGUGACCUGAAUGUUAACAUGAAAAUAAAGCUUCAUGUUAUUGGAUCUUUAUUCGAUCGGAUAAAUGUGGGCAUGCCAGGGCAACCCUGGGACACAUGCUAUGGGAAUACUCGAGGUUAGACGACGAAAUACACAGAAACCACCUGGAGGCAGUCUCUGAACUGCAGGGCGUGCUGGGAGGCGACUGGGAUCGGUAACACGGCAAUGUGCCUAAUGCAGCGCAGUUGAACCAAGUGCGACAAGAUUCCACGACCAGCAUUGUCCAACGUCAAACGAAGUUGCAUCCGACUUUCAUUAAUACUUUCAUUACAGCUUUAGUUUGUCCAUAAAAAUAGUACAGCUGUAAUGAAAGUGCUUACGGAUGCUUAUGGUGGCAGAGUAAAUGGAUAACCUAGAGGUAAUCGAAAUGCAUUUAGUAUUAAAUAGCUUCAUUUUCAUGGAUGCAAAGAGUGCUUGCACAGAUCUCCUUGAACAGGGCAUCAUGCAGUCAAUCCCCUUUGUAAGAAAGGCAGUGCACAUGCACAUUGAGCAACUAAGCAACAACAUUAUAGAAAAGGCACAUUGAGCGAAGUAAAUUCAAUGACCCAACCCGAACUGAUGCAGCAAGUCUGCACGUCAAGUGCAUGAGUGGAAACGGGAAUCCAUUUGUACAUUCCCAACGACAUUCACAUUUUCUUGGAAUCCGACACACAGACACCUUGUUGAAAAACCCUUAAGUAAAGCACAUUGCCUGGCAAUAGUUCAGGUACAUAGAACACAUUCAAGAACCUGAAAUGUACAUGUAAACACCCUUAACGUCUCACAAAUGUACAUGUAAACACCUUUGAAUGUCAUGAAUGUGAAAAUUUUACACGUUUUGGCAAAGCACCAAAGCGUCUUUAGUUCGCAAGUUCACAGCUCACCAGAUGGUGCCUUGCUUGAUCACAGAAC